AGGGUUUGAAGCGUCUCCUCUACAAUAUCCACUGUACUAGGUUUGGUAGUGAGGUAUCUGUGUGACUUUCAGCACUUUUCAAUGACAAUGGCGGGACCAAUGAGACCCGGCGACAACUUUCUCACUUCCUCAGGCUCUGCAGUGUCGCCUCCCAGGUACUGUACUGUAGUAGGUAAAUGCUAGUCAGUUCAGUUACUAGUUGUACUUGGUUCACUGGGUCUGGAAAGACUGCACUGAGCCGCUGCUCGUAGAUCUACUCGUUGUCGUAGUUGAACUGAGAAGCACAAUGUAGCUUGUGCUUGCUUACUUUACUGCUCGUUUUGCGCCCUGUCCGUAACAAAUACGGUUUACCGGUAGUGACAGGGAAGGAAAUUCCACAAAGGUUGGCGAGCCGCUACAUGUAGUUUCCGGGUGCAUUCACUCGCGGCAAAAGAUGUAGGUACCAACACCAGCAAUAGCAACAGCAUGCUCGCAGCUGGGUCGCUGACAGUCCCAGCAGUCACUACAAAGUACAAGGUCUCGGGACGUUCACAUGAUUCCAGCAGAAGAUGCCAGAAUAUUUCUGCAGCGCAUAUCCAGGAUAUCACCUCGGCUAGCGCAAGCCUUGUUGGCUAAGUCAGUAUGCACGGCUGGGUUCCACAGCACUACAUGCAGUGGGUUGAAGGACUGGAGUCCAGCCAUCCACACAAGACUCCAUGCCAAGCUCAAGUGCUGCUCACUGAAAUCCAGUCGUGAGAGUCAAGUUGGCACCGUGCACCUUUCGCAGCCCAGUCAGUGUUCGCAUAUGCCUACUGUGCAAAGCCCGGCGUGUACUUGAGAAACUUGACUGGAUGUCAAUAAGCAGUCCUGUAGUUAGAGCAUUGAAAGCAUAAUUACCGGUAUACAUGUAGUUUCCAUGUGUUGUAUACUAGUACAUGU